GACGAACGCUGGCGGCGUGCUUAACACAUGCAAGUCGAACGAAGUGGCGAACGGGUGAGUAACGCGUAAUCAACCUGCCCUUCAGAGGGGGACAACAGUUGGAAACGACUGCUAAUACCGCAUACUGAAGGAGGGGCUUGCGGCUGAGUAGCUAGUUGGAGGGGUAACGGCCCACCAAGGCGAUGAUCAGUAGCCGGUCGGAGAGGAUGAACGGCCAAAAUGGGAAUGAGACACGGCCCAGACUCCUACGGUAGGCAGCAGUGGGGAAUCUGCCGCAAUGGACGAAAGUCUGACGGAGCAACGCCGCGUUAGUGAUGACGGCCUUCGGGUUGGAAAGCUCUGUUAAUCGGGACGCGGUACCGGAAUAGAAAGCCACGGCUAACUACGUGCCAGCAGCCGCGGUAAUUC
rnacentral:rRNA from 1 species